GUUGAACUGGGGGCAAAGUCAUAUAUGGUACACAUCAAUAUUCGGUGUUUAAUAGGCGUUUAUUAGGACGCCUGCCGCUUUCCCGUUUACCUGUGAAGUCGUUGAGUGUCAUCUGUUUUUUGUUUGUUUAUGUUUAUGUGUAAUAAAGUAAAAUAAGUAAUAUUUUGAAAAAUUUCGGGACAUAGUGUUUAAAAAUUACGGGAGAAAAUUGGAAAAGAAAUUGAAAUUACUGCUUGCAAAAAGCCAAAACGAAAUGUUUGAUAAAGAAGGAACGAGGUCCUUCAAGUCCCUGGAAGAUGUUAAGAACUUUGAAGAUCUUUGAAGAAGUUUAUGUGCAGAAAUAUAAUUUUUUGUUGAUUGAGAAUAAUUUCCAAAAACAUGCUGGCG
rnacentral:lncRNA from 1 species